rnacentral:rRNA from 1 species
AAUCAACGCUGGCGGCGUGCCUCAGACAUGCAAGUCGAACGAGAACCUCCCUUCGGGGAGGAGACAGUGGCGCACGGGUGAGUAACACGUGGGUAAUUACCUUUGGGUGGGAACAACAGCCGAAACGGCUGCUAAUACCGCAUAAUGCAGCGGCUCGACAUCGAGACAGUUGUUAAAGCGGGGAGUCGCAAGACCUCGCGCCUGAAGAGAAGCCUGCGGCGGANAGUCUAGUUGGUAGGGUAAUGGCCUACCAAGGCGACGAUCUGUAACCGGCCUGAGAGGGCGGUCGGUCACACUGACACUGACAUACGGGUCAGACUCCUAC